rnacentral:misc_RNA from 1 species
AUAAAUUCUAAUUAAUGACGUAAAAUCGUUUAUAUAAAUUGAUUUUCUACUCAUUUUUUUUCCGAAAAUUUGUUAUCGAACAGAGUAAAACGACUUCAAAGUGUGUAAUAGGAUUCGCCUUAUAUUGCUUUUAUUAAGAUGUCAGGUUUCUUUGUUUGACAGAAAACUGGAAUAGAAUAUGAAAUAAACAAUAGAAAACGACAAUGAAUCUAAUUUUAACAAUACUUUUAUCUGUUUUAAUCUGCAUCAUUUUGUUAUGGAUAAGAUGGAGAAUACAAAGGAUGUCAUUGUUUCAACGAUACGGAAUUCCAGGCCCGAAACCAAACUUCAUUUUUGGAAAUUUAAUUGAAUUCGUUAAAGAGGGAGACACAUGCGUAGAUAAGUGGCGAAAACAAUACGGAAAAAUGUUUGGGUUUUAUCUAGGAGCGAAGCCAUUUAUAAUAUGCACUGACGUUGAAUUUUUCAAACUGAUUCAAAUAAAGGACAGUUAUAAUUUUUUGAAUAAAGAUCCGCUGCUGCCAGGUGGUAUAUUUCCACACGAUGAGUCUAAAAACAUGCUUUUAGUGUUAACCGAUCAGAAAUGGAAAAACCUAAGAAGUAUUAUCAAUACUUGUUUCAUUACAGGAAAAAUUAAAAUGAUGAGUGCUCUAAUGUCUUCACCAAUAAAAGCCUUUCUAGCAAACGUCGAGAAGCAAAGAGAUCAACCUCUUGAUAUCACAAACCUGUGUAAAAAAUUGGUGUUCGAUAUCAUUUGUACAUCAGCAUUUGGCAUAACAACAAAUGUUCAAAAUAAUCAAAGUAGUAAAUUUAUUGAAUCGACUCACGCUAUAUUUUCAGCAGAUUCUACUGUUAUUUUAGUUGGAAUAACAAUUAUCUUCCCGGAAGUAGAGCCAAUAUGUACGUUUCUUCGACAUAAAAUAGAGAUUUUAAGGUAUAUUUUGAAUCUACCGUCUUUCACCUUCGUUUAUGAAACCUGUCGGAAAAUAGUCACUUCCCGGAAGAAAUUAGAAUCUCCUCCACUUGAUCUACUGCAGACGAUGAUAGAUGCGGAAGAUGAGACUAUUGUAGAAAUGAAGAAACUUCCAGAUAAUUUCGUUAUUGCAAAUGCCAUGUUGUUCAUGGCAGCUGGAUACGAAACAACAAGUUUGGCAUUAAGAAUGUGUAUUAAACAUCUCGCUAGUAAUCCUGAAAUACAAGAGAAACUCCGUGAAGAAAUAAAGAACUACGUUUCGGAAGACGUAGAUAUUCAGUAUUCUGACUUGACCAAUUUCCAGCUGUUAGAUCAAGUUAUCUGUGAAACUCUUCGCUUUUUUCCAUUUCCCUCAAUAUCUGUAAAUCGCGUAUGUAAAGAAGAUUAUCGUUAUAAAGACAUCACCAUUCCUAAAGGUAGUAUUAUAUCGAUUCCAAUAAACUUUUUGCAAAAUGAUCCAGCUUAUUGGAGUGAACCGGAUAAGUUUAAUCCCUACAGAUUUUCUUCUGAUGAACGGCAGAAAAUUGAUUCCAUCAUUUACCAAUCAUUCGGAGCAGGGCAAAGAAUAUGUAUAGGAAAAAAGUUAGCUUUAACUAUCAUGAAGCUAGUACUAGCAAAUCUUAUACGAUCAUUUAAAUUAGAAUACUGUAUUGACGAUGAAAACCGAAGAGCAUACUUUUUAUUUUUGAAUUAUCCUAACAAAGGAAAGGUGAAAGCAACUCUAUUAGCUUCGUGAUUUGUGACAUUGGUUUAUGUUUUGAAUUUUAAACAUAAAUAACCAUUAACGUAUUAUACGAAUUCGAUUGUAUUCAUGCAAAUUUCGCGUUUGUUUCGUUCCGUCUUUACGGUGUAGAAAUUGUAAUGGCCAGCAGCAUAUAUUGCUUAAAAGAAAAAUACACUUAAGAAAAGACAAAAGAACGAAAUAAAUACAGGAGAUCGCUACUUACGAACAUUUACAAUUACGAACGAUUAGACGGUUCUGGUGAGAAUCCGCAACCAGUGAAAGGUACCUGAAAACGUUUUUAUUCUGAAAUCAAACUUACACAUCGUGGUC